CUCGGCCACGGAAACACAUUUCACGAAUUGAUCCCUGAGAUCUCCUCCCUGUCCUGGGUCACUACCACUGUGCCUCUGGUCAUGGUGCUGUUGAUCACUGCAGUUAAAGACGCCACUGACGACUAUUUCAGGUAUAAAAGCGAUCAGCAGGUCAACAGUCGUCAGUCUCAGGUACUCAGGGGAAAUCUACAGAAUGAGAAGUGGAUGAAUGUACGCGUGGGAGAUAUCAUCAAGCUGGAAAACAAUCACUUUGUGACAGCUGACAUUCUGCUGCUCUCUAGUAGUGAACCAUAUGGACUGUGUUACAUAGAAACGGCUGAGCUAGACGGGGAGACCAAUCUGAAGGUUCGUCAGGCUUUGACUGUGACCUCAGACUUGGGAGCAGACAUAACAAAGCUGGCUGACUUCAAUGGAGAAGUUAUCUGUGAGCCUCCCAACAACAAGCUGGACAAGUUCACAGGUACUCUGUACUGGAGAGAUAACAAGUACCCUCUGGAUAAUGAAAAGAUGCUGCUGAGAGGCUGUGUGCUCCGGAACACGGAGUGGUGCUUCGGAAUGGUCGUCUUUGCUGGGCUGCAAACCAAACUGAUGCAGAACUGUGGGAGGACUAAAUUCAAAAGGACCAGCAUUGAUAAACUGAUGAACACUUUAGUUUUAUGGAUAUUUGGCUUCCUAGUCUGCAUGGGUGUGAUCCUGGCUAUUGGCAACACCAUCUGGGAGCAGAAGGUUGGGAGGAGCUUCAGUGUCUAUCUCCUGUGGGAUGAACCAAUCAGAAACAACAAUGUGGUGUUCUCUGGGUUCCUCACCUUCUGGUCUUACAUCAUCAUCCUCAACACAAUGGUGCCCAUCUCUCUCUACGUCAGUGUGGAGGUUAUUCGUCUGGGCCACAGUUACUUUAUUAACUGGGACAGGAAGAUGUAUUACAUCCAGAAGGACACUCCAGCUGAGGCCAGAACCACCACGCUCAAUGAGGAGCUGGGCCAGGUGGAGUUUAUCUUCUCAGACAAGACAGGAACUCUCACACAAAACAUCAUGGUCUUCAACAAAUGCUCCAUCAACGGGAAGAGCUAUGGUGAUGUUUAUGAUGAAUUUGGCCAUAAAGUGGAAAUUACAGAGAGAACGGCCUGUGUAGAUUUCUCUUUCAACCCUCUGAGUGACAGGAAGUUUAAGUUUCAUGACAGUAGCCUGUUGGAGGCCAUCAAGAUGGAGGAGCCAUCAGUGCAGGACUUCUUCAGACUGCUGGCUUUGUGUCAUACUGUCAUGCCUGAGGAGAAGAAUGAAGGUAAUAUAAUAAAUAGGACAGGUAAUGUAGUGAUAAUAAAUGUGACGGGUAAGAUAAUAAAUAGGACAGGUAAUGUAGAGAUAAUACAUGGGACAGGUAAUGAAUUUGCUGGUGAAGGCUUGCGAACACUGGCCCUGGCCUACAAAGACCUAGAUGAGAAUGUAUUAGAGGAAUGGAUGAAAAGGCUUCUGUAUGCCAGCACUGUGAUAGAGAACAGAGAGGAGGGACUGGCUGAUCUCUAUGAGGAAAUAGAGACAGGCCUCAUGCUCCUAGGAGCCACAGCAGUAGAAGACAAACUGCAGGAGGGGGUUCCUGAAACAAUCGCCUGUUUGACCCUGGCCAACAUCAAGAUUUGGGUUCUCACUGGGGAUAAGUUAGAGACGGCGAUGAACAUCGGCUACUCCUGCAACAUGCUGAGAGACGAUAUGAACGAAGUGUUUAUCAUAUCAGGACAUUCUGUCUUAGAGGUGCAGCAGCAACUCAGGAGUGCUAAGGAGCACAUCCUGGGCCUGGGUAGAGUCAGCGGUACUGUAGAUGUGGAGAAGACAGAUGACUUCUCAGAGGAUUCUGUAUUUGAAGAAACCAUAAUAGCAGAGUAUGCCUUAAUCAUCAAUGGACACAGUCUGGCCCAUGCCCUGGAGCCUGAGCUGGAGCAGGUCCUUCUGGAGACUGCCUGUCUGUGUAAGACAGUGAUCUGCUGUAGGGUGACUCCCAUGCAGAAGGCCCAGGUGGUGGAGCUGGUCAAGACGAACAAGAUGGCUGUGACUCUGGCCAUAGGAGACGGAGCCAAUGACGUCAGCAUGAUCAAGACUGCUCAUAUAGGUGUAGGUAUAUCAGGUCAGGAGGGCAUGCAGGCUGUGCUAGCCUCCGACUACUCCUUUGCCCAGUUCCGCUAUCUGCAGCGUCUCCUGCUGGUCCACGGCCGCUGGUCCUAUUUCCGCAUGUGCAACUUCCUGUUCUACUUCUUCUACAAGAACUUUGCCUUCACCCUGGUGCACUUCUGGUUCGGCUUCUUCUGUGGUUUCUCAGCUCAGACGGUUUAUGACCAGUGGUUUAUCACUCUCUUCAAUAUAGUCUACACAUCCCUGCCAGUUCUGGCCAUGGGGCUUUUCGAUCAGGAUGUGAACGAAGCCAACAGCCACCGCUACCCUAGCCUGUACCGUCCAGGACAGCUCAAUGUCCUGUUCAACAAGAGACAGUUCUUCCUGUGUACGCUGCAGGGGGUGGGCACCUCCUUCCUCCUCUUCUUCAUCCCCUACGGAGCCUUCUGCCUCGUCGCCAGGGACGACGGAUCACACAUCUCAGACCAGCAGGCUUUCGCCGUCAUCAUAUCAACAUCCUUGGUCAUAGUGGUGAGCGUUCAGGUAAGAGACAUAAUGCAAUUGUACAAAUAUGCAGAGCAUUGUUUUGAGUCCGAGGGUAUUUUUGUUGUGUUUUUUUCAGGCACAGCCCGUAACUGUCUGACUCAGAAGAGUGUGUGGCUGGUUAUAAUGCUGACCACUGUGGCGUGUGUCAUGCCAGGGUUGGCAGUCCGCUUUCUGAAGACAGACCUUUACCCCACCCUGACAGACAAGGUGCGGAGCCUGCAGCAGGCCAGCAGAAAGCUGGGUCCCAAGGAGCAGAACCUGAGACGUGUUCGGAGGACCAGCUCCCGGCGCUCAGCCUACGCCUUCUCCCACCAACAGGGCUAUGGAGAGCUCAUAACCUCAGGGAAGAACAUGAAGGUCUGUCAAAUAAACUAAUACAAAAUAAACAAAUAUGUUGUGACA
rnacentral:lncRNA from 13 species